rnacentral:rRNA from 1 species
AACGAACGCUGGCGGCAUGCCUAACACAUGCAAGUCGAGCGAGACCUUCGGGUCUAGUGGCGCACGGGUGCGUAACGCGUGGGAACCUGCCCUUAGGUUCGGAAUAACUCCCCGAAAGGGGUGCUAAUACCGGAUAAUGUCUUCGGACCAAAGAUUUAUCGCCUUUGGAUGGGCCCGCGUUGGAUUAGCUAGUUGGUAGGGUAAAAGCCUACCAAGGCGACGAUCCAUAGCUGGUCUGAGAGGAUGAUCAGCCACACUGGGACUGAGACACGGCCCAGACUCCUACGGGAGGCAGCAGUGGGGAAUAUUAGACAAUGGGCGAAAGCCUGAUCCAGCAAUGCCGCGUGAGUGAUGAAGGCCUUAGGGUUGUAAAGCUCUUUUACCCGGGAUGAUAAUGACAGUACCGGGAGAAUAAGCUCCGGCUAACUCCGUG